CUAGCKCCUAUACAUGCAAGUCGAACGCGUUGGCCCAAUUGAUUGAUGGUGCUUGCACCUGAUUGAUUUUGGUCGCCAACGAGUGGCGGACGGGUGAGUAACACGUAGGUAACCUGCCCAGAAGCGGGGGACAACAUUUGGAAACAGAUGCUAAUACCGCAUAACAACGUUGUUCGCAUGAACAACGCUUAAAAGAUGGCUUCUCGCUAUCACUUCUGGAUGGACCUGCGGUGCAUUAGCUUGUUGGUGGGGUAAUGGCCUACCAAGGCGAUGAUGCAUAGCCGAGUUGAGAGACUGAUCGGCCACAAUGGGACUGAGACACGGCCCAUACUCCUACGGGAGGCAGCAGUAGGGAAUCUUCCACAAUGGGCGCAAGCCUGAUGGAGCAACACCGCGUGAGUGAAGAAGGGUUUCGGCUCGUAAAGCUCUGUUGUUAAAGAAGAACACGUAUGAGAGUAACUGUUCAUACGUUGACGGUAUUUAACCAGAAAGUCACGGCUAACUACGUGCCAGCAGCSGCSSGGUAAUKAAA
rnacentral:rRNA from 1 species